GAUGAACGCUGGCGGCGUGCCUAAUACAUGCAAGUCGAGCGAACAGAUAAGGAGCUUGCUCCUUUGACGUUAGCGGCGGACGGGUGAGUAACACGUGGGUAACCUACCUAUAAGACUGGGAUAACUUCGGGAAACCGGAGCUAAUACCGGAUAAUAUUUCGAACCGCAUGGUUCGAUAGUGAAAGAUGGUUUUGCUAUCACUUAUAGAUGGACCCGCGCCGUAUUAGCUAGUUGGUAAGGUAACGGCUUACCAAGGCGACGAUACGUAGCCGACCUGAGAGGGUGAUCGGCCACACGGGAACUGAGACACGGUCCAGACUCCUACGGGAGGCAGCAGUAGGGAAUCUUCCGCAAUGGGCGAAAGCCUGACGGAGCAACGCCGCGUGAGUGAUGAAGGUCUUCGGAUCGUAAAACUCUGUCAUUAGGGAAGAACAUACGUGUAAGUAACUGUGCACGUCUUGAUGGUACCUAAUCAGAAAGCCACGGCUAACUACGUG
rnacentral:rRNA from 1 species